rnacentral:rRNA from 1 species
UGGGGAAUUUUGCGCAAUGGGGGAAACCCUGACGCAGCAACGCCGCGUGGAGGAUGAAAUCCCUUGGGAUGUAAACUCCUUUCGAUCGGGACGAUUAUGACGGUACCGGAAGAAGAAGCCCCGGCUAACUUCGUGCCAGCAGCCGCGGUAAUACGAGGGGGGCAAGCGUUGUUCGGAAUUAUUGGGCGUAAAGGGCGCGUAGGCGGUUUGACAAGUCUGAUGUGAAAUCUCUGGGCUCAACCCAGAGUCUGCAUUAGAAACUGUCGGGCUUGAGUAUGGGAGAGGUGAGUGGAAUUUCCGGUGUAGCGGUGAAAUGCGUAGAUAUCGGAAGGAACACCUGUGGCGAAAGCGGCUCACUGGACCAUAACUGACGCUGAGGCGCGAAAGCUAGGGGAGCAAACAGGAUUAGAUACCCUGGUAGUCCUAGCCCUAAACGAUGAUUGCUUGGUGUGACAGGUACCCAAUCCUGUCGUGCCGAAGCUAACGCGAUAAGCAAUCCGCCUGGGGAGUACGGUCGCAAGGCUGAAACUCAAAUGAAUUGACGGGGUCAUAGCUGUUUCCUG